CCAAUAGCGUAUAUUAAAGUUGUUGCAGUUAAAAAGCUCGUAGUUGAAUUUCGGGGUCAGUAGGUCGGUCGUGCCACAGGUAUGCACUGGUCUCACUGAUUCCUCCUUCCUGAUGAACCGUAAUGCCAUUAAUUUGGUGUUGCGGGGAGACUGGACUGUUGCUUUGAAAAAAUUAGAGUGUUUAAAGCAGGCUAACGCUUGAAUACAUUAGCAUGGAAUAACGGAAUAGGACGUUCGAUCUUAUUUUGUUGGUUUCUAAGAUUGACGUAAUAAUUAAUAGGGAUAGUUGGGGGCAUUAGUAUUCAAUUGUCAGAGGUGAAAUUCUUGGAUUUAUUGAAGACUAACUACUGCGAAAGCAUUUGCCAAGGAUGUUUUCAUUAAUCAAGAACGAAAGUUAGGGGAUCGAAGACGAUCAGAUACCGUCGUAGUCUUAACCAUAAACUAUGCCGACUAGGGAUCGGAUGAUGUUAAUUUUUUAAUGACUCAUUCGGCGCCUUACG
rnacentral:rRNA from 1 species